rnacentral:rRNA from 1 species
ACCUGGUACUUUUUGUAGAACGGACCGGCGAGUUACGUUAUGCUGCGAGGUUAAGGUGUAGAGCACCGGAGCCGGAGCGAAAGCGAGUCUGAAUAGGGCGAGAGUAACAUGACGUAGACCCGAAACCGUGUGACCUAUCCAUGGACAGGUUGAAGUGGAAGUAAAAUUUCAUGGAGGACCGAACCACACUGCCGUUGAAAAGGUAGGGGAUGAGCUGUGGAUAGCGGGGAAAUUCCAAUCGAACACGGAUAUAGCUGGUUCUCCUCGAAAUAGCUUUAGGGCUAGCCUCGGGGUAAAGAGUUGCGGAGGUAGAGCACUGAAUGGGCUAGGGGGCCACAAAGCUUACUGAACCUUAUCAAACUUCGAAUGCCGCUAACUUAUACCCGGGAGUCAGACUGUGUGAGAUAAGUCUCACGGUCGAAAGGGAAACAGCCCAGAUCAUCAGCUAAGGUCCCAAAGUGCAGGUUAAGUGGAGAAGGAUGUGUCAGUGCACAGACAACCAGGAUGUUGGCUUAGAAGCAGCCACACAUUUAAAGAGUGCGUAAUAGCUCACUGGUCGAGUGCUGAUGCGCCGAAGAUUAACGGGGCUAAAACCUGCCACCGAAGCUAUGGAUUUGCCGCAAGGCAAGUGGUAGAGGAGCAAUGUGUACAGGCAGAAGCCGUACCGUCAGGAGCGGUGGACAGUACACAAGAGAGAAUGCCGGUAUGAGUAGCGAGAGUGAGGUGAGAAUCCUCACCGUCGAAAGCCAAAGGUUUCCUGAGGAAGGUUCGUCCUCUCAGGGUAAGUCGGGGACUAAGCCGAGGGCGGUAGAGCCGUAGGCGAUGACCAGCAGGUAGAGAUUCCUGCACCACCAGUGUAUCGUUUGAGGAAGCAGUGACACAGAAGGAUAGUCAGAGCGCGUUGAUGGUAGAGCGCGUCCAAGCAGUGAGGCUGAUACGCAGUAAAGUACACGUAUCGAAAGGCUGGGCUGUGACGGGGAGUUAAAUGAUAUGAAGCUGAUGAAUUCACGCUGGCGAGAAAAGCUGCUAACGAGAUAUACGGUGCCCGUACCGCAAACCGACACAGGUAGGCGAGGAGAGAAUCCUAAGACGAGCGAGAGAACCAUUGUUAAGGAACUCGGCAAAAUUACCUCGUAACUUCGGGAGAAGGGGUGCCUAUAGAGAUAUAGGUCGCAGAGAAUAGGCCCAAGCGACUGUUUAACAAAAACACAGGUCUGUGCUAAAUCGAGAGAUGAAGUAUACGGGCUGACGCCUGCCCGGUGCUGGAAGGUUAAGGGAAUGAGUCAGGAGCAAUCCGAAGCUUUGAACUGAAGCCCCAGUAAACGGCGGCCGUAACUAUAACGGUCCUAAGGUAGCGAAAUUCCUUGUCGGGUAAGUUCCGACCUGCACGAAUGGCGUAACGAUUUGGGCGCUGUCUCAACAGUGGACUCGGCGAAAUUGUAGUAUGCGUGAAGAUGCGCAUUACCCGCGACUGGACGGAAAGACCCCGUAGAGCUUUACUG